rnacentral:lncRNA from 1 species
UUGAUUGUCAGCUCAAAAAUUAUGUUCUGGGGUGUAGUUUCAUAUGGAUUUGAAUUGCGUAUCGUUUGUCUCGUAGUUUGUAUUGUUUGAGCUCCCCCAGAAACGAUGGAGAAGGUCAUCGGAAUCCAUGCAAGCAUCAGAGCACGAGCUGUGGCAUUAGGGCUUGAUCGUCCAGGUGGCGGAGUGUUGAUGCCACCAACGGAGGUAACGGAGGGACACGGUAGGGGCCGGUUAGUGGGGCAAAAAGUCGGGGCCGGCGGCAUGCGGUUUGGGCACUGGAUUCACCCAAAAUGAAAAAAAAUAUAUCAAUUUGCAAUUAUCACAAAAGUGAGGGGUAUAUUUACUAUUUUUAAGAAUUCAGGGGUAUUCAUGAUAUUUCAACAUAGUUAAGGGGUACAAAUGAUAUUUUUCCUACAAUUAAUAUUCUACUAUUUUAUUAUAUCUAUUCAGAUUAGAUCAUUGAAAACUACAAAAAAGAUUUAAUCAAUAACUUAUAAUUUUCAGUAUAAUAGAAUAUGAGCAUUUGUAAUAGCCAAGUUUACUUUGGAUCUAUAUUUUUAUUAUGAAAUAGAAGAACAUUUUGAAAAUAUAAUUUCAAAUAGCCUAUGACAAUAUUAUUGGAAAAACAGAUUAUAAAUGCAAUACUAAUUUUUUAUUUAAAUAAAAAUUAUAUUAAAAAAACAAGAAUUUAAAAAAAAUGGCAACUGAAUUUUAUUUGGAGUAAAAAUUAUAUCCAAAUACCUCUUUAAUAUGUAAAAAUAUUAGUUUGUGAAUUUAAAGAUAGCAAGUGUAAAACUUGGUAUAAUUACAUUAAAAAAAAUUAAAAAUACAUCCUAUUAGUUUAGCUAUUAAAUUAAUAUUAUAUUUUUUUGAAAGAAUAAAGAUAAAUCCAAAUUAAAUAAUUCUUAAGAUAAAGCCCUAUGUGAGCCAAAUAAACCUCCACUUAUUCCAAUUCAAACUGAGUGAAUUAACCUUGUGAAUGUUAGUAGUUAUAGCUAUUAAUUAAAUUCUAAUCAAAUCACUCUUUAACCUUCUUAAAUGAUUCAAGCAAAUAAGCCAAAACUCUAUAACUAAUUCACAUUCAUAUUGAUAAAUCAGUCAACAAGUUAAUGCCAUGAAAAUUUCCUAUUAUUUUGUUAAUUAUCUUAUUUCUAUUGUUAUUAUUAUUAUUGUUUGUAUUAAUUUUAAUCCAGUUCAUCCAGAAAAGAAAAUCAUCUGUGAAGGAGAAUUCAUCCUUGAUUGAAAUAAUUCAUCCAAUAAAACUCAUCCAAACUCUAACCUAUCAACCCUAAUUGAUUCUUCCUGGACCUAGGAUCUUCUAUGCAUCCUGAAAUCACCUUGCAAUAUUUUAUUGACCCAGACGUUGAGGACGAGUCUCUUCUGGGUUUUUCCACAGGGUGCUCUAUUUCUUCCAACACGAUCUUGCGAACUCCUUCUCGCUUUGCUUUGAUGAGGAUUCGAAGUCGUCAAAUGGAACCAACGCUCCUCCUCCGGCUCCCCUGAUCCUGCUCUUUGGCUGCAAUUCCUGGUUCAUUCCAACACGAGCCUCCUUUCGAUCUAAAGAAGUGAAUUUGUCGAGGCCGUUGGCUACAAGACUUGUCCUUAGGAAUGGCAAUUAGGGGGUGGGGCGUGCGAAGCGUAGGCAGCAGCGGAAGGCAAGGCAGAAAGACGACGAUGAUCCUGCGCCAUUCAACACAUAUCCAUCCUCCUCUGGAUGUGAAAUCCGACCGGGGAAGCAAAAUCUGCGAACACCAACAUCGCCGAUGUGCUCGCUGCUAAUUCGACGACGACGACAUCAUGCUCCCUCCUCUUCGGCUGCAGUUCCUGGUUCAUUCCAACACGAGCCUCUUUUCGAUCCAAAGAAGCGAAUUUUGUCGAGGCCGUAGGCACAACACCAGUAGUCAAUCGCCACCUUUGGAACCAGCACCUCUCACAAGGAAUGGAACAAAAACCAAUGAAGGAAAAAAGGAAAAAAUUGGCUGCGGUGAACUACAGGGCGGAGUGAUCUAAAUGUAUCAACGAUGGAACAACGGAGGACUUCCGCGAUCCCCAAUCAUAAAGCUUGAAGCCCUCCUCGUCAAUAACCAAUGUUGUUGCUAUUGUAAGGUUCACCCACCAUGCGCCCUGAGCUAAUUUGCCCUGACCACAGAAAAAAAGGAUGCUGCCAUGCACAGCAUCGCAAGAGUCUACCAGCUUGAACCUCGGGGAUGGAACCAGCCAACAAAGGAAAUGACGAUAAGAAAAAUGGAUCAUGCCACUUGUAGAACCACUAGAGUGAGUGCAAGAUCGUGAGCCUGCGACACCAUCGCAGCAACAACCACACCCACGUCGGAGCCGCUGUUCCCAGUUCAACACCACCAAGAAAACACGCCGCUGCAAUGCUCAGGGUUUUGUAGCACCCUACCACUGCAAUACCCCCACCACGUGUAGGAAAUGGAAAAAUUCCGGAGCGCUCGGAACCGUGAAGCGUGAGGAAGAAAAAAAAACAAGAGAUUUGGGGAUCCGGGCCGCCGGACCCCCCUAUCGACGAGGAGGCUG